rnacentral:snoRNA from 1 species
AAGACUAUACUUUUCAGGGAUCAUUUCUAUGGUUUGUAUCAUACCUAAAUCUUAGAAAUAAGAUAAGUAGUUAACAGGU